CCUACGGGAGGCAGCAGUGGGGAAUAUUGCACAAUGGGGGAAACCCUGAUGCAGCGACGCCGCGUGAGUGAAGAAGUAAUUCGUUACGUAAAGCUCUAUCAGCAGGGAAGAAAAUGACGGUACCUGAGUAAGAAGCCCCGGCUAACUACGUGCCAGCAGCCGCGGUAAUACGUAGGGGGCAAGCGUUAUCCGGAUUUACUGGGUGUAAAGGGAGCGUAGACGGUGAUGCAAGUCAGAAGUGAAAGCCCGGGGCUCAACUCCGGGACUGCUUUUGAAACUGUGUGACUGGAGUGCAGGAGAGGUAAGCGGAAUUCCUGGUGUAGCGGUGAAAUGCGUAGAUAUCAGGAGGAACACCAGUGGCGAAGGCGGCUUACUGGACUGUAACUGACGUUGAGGCUCGAAAGCGUGGGGAGCAAACAGGAUUAGAUACCCGAGUAGUC
rnacentral:rRNA from 1 species